AUUGCUUCUCAGCCUCUUGACUAAGAUUAAGUGUAGAAUCUAUUCAGUUGAGUAACUUCCUUGUCCUAUUUCCAAUGAUUAUCUAUUUAGUAAAUUUUUGGAGCAGUAAGAAGGAGUAGGAACUUCUUCUCUUCCCCCCACAUAACCACCUUGUAUUUUAGAACCUCCAGGAAUGAUGUAUGCCCU